ensembl:lncRNA
CUUAUAUCCACAGUACUUAUUUUGCUGAUUUGGAUAGAAACUAAUGGGAAUGUAUGGUCUUUGUUGAUAUAGCAUAAACUAUAUUUAUGAUAAGGUCACACACAGAAACAUCGGUAACAGUUCAUCUUUCUUAAUAGGAAAGAUGAAAAAAAAUAAUUUAAUAAACAACAAUACCGGUACAUGUUAAAAUAACACUACAAAGUUUUUUUUCUUAGAAUUCACCUUAAAAUCUUUUUUCCUUCUCAAAAUCUGGCCUUAAUUAUCUAAUUUUGGUGAUCUAUGUGUGGUAGAGAUAUCUGGCUUUUCAUGAAUAUAAGGAUACUUGCUCUGCCUUUCCGGAAAACCUGGAUCUGGACCUGGAUAAUCAGAAAAGUCCACAAGCCUUGAGCCCCUUCAUAUAGGACUUUUUUAUUUCUACAGAAUGACAGAAGAAAGUAUGCACCUACCCAUGAUGAGAGGCUCAUGGUAGUGCAUGACCGGUGUCCCCCUUAUGUCAGUUAACUUCAUGCUUCUGCAAAAGAAAAUACUUCCUGCUUCAAAUUGCACACAACAAGGUGUGUGGAUUUCUUUUCAAUAACUGUACCAUAAUUUCUGAAAAAAAAAAAAAAAAACAUCAAUGAAACUGCUUUUUCAGAUGUACAUUCCUGGACAAUGUUGUUAAGUCAGGUUGGUAAAAUGUCCCUUUAAAACACCCUCUGGCAUGUUAAGAACUGAAAUGUUACGUGAAAAUAAGAAAGUAAAGUUCAGUUAGAUGAGAGGUUCAAAAUAAGUUUACACUCCUCUUUCACAGAACAGGCAAAUAAACAUUUAUUUUCUUCCAUCUGCUGAAGCAGCAGUUGUUUUUCUUAAUGGGUCACUGUAAUUGGCAGCGGUCAGGGAGCGAGCCCUGCUUCGUGGUGUGUGGUUUAGUUACUGACGUCUUGAGACCGAUGGAGGCAUUGGCAGCUGUGGGCUCGAGGAUGCUGCUUCUGCUGACGGGGGCCUCUGUUCAUCUCCUCUUCACCCUACACAGUUCUGCUCCACAGGGACAGUGCUACUGGGACAAAUGGCCACCUGGGAUUUGAGCACUUAAUGAAGCACACCUUUUUUCGCCGCUCUUCUCCUCAGUCAACCUCUUUUUCCUAAGGCCAACGAUCCCCGCAC